GGAGGAGGAAGGAGGAGCUGGAGAGUGUCCUGCUGCCACCACGACUCAACCCCGGAUCAGCAGAGGAAGAUGGAUGGAUGGACAUUUUAGGCGUCCAUGUGUCCAUGGGAGAAAGCAGAGGACAGGCAGGUUGAGGAGUUUUGUCUCCAUCAGUCCAGGAUGAGGUGUCUCCACUUUAUCCACGAUCACAGAGUCUUCACACCAUGAAGAAGUUCUUUGAGACCAGGACACAGGCCUCCAGGCGUCCAUGUGUCCAUGGGAGAAAGCAGAGGACAGGCAGGUUGAGGAGUUUUGUCUCCAUCAGUCCAGGAUGAGGUGAGUUCUGUCAUUUCUACAUUUUUAAAAUCUAUUCUCUAGCUGGAAAGCAGGAGCACAGAGGAGAAAGAAGUGGAUGGCAGGCACAUGAUCUCCAGUUAAUUGCUCUUAGUGUCUGAGCCCAGCAGAGACAGAGAUGGUCCCAUAGCAUCACAUCUUUAGUUAAAAACCUGCAGUGAGUCAAUCAACAACCCUACCUUAUGACUUCUGCAGGAGCAACUGAACUCUGACCCUGCCUUUAGCAUCCACACGUUUUUCUUCUCGUGCUCUCCUUUUUCUGCUUCCUUCCACCUGUCUGAACCUGAACACAAAAUCUAACUUAACCCACAAACACUGUGUAGAGGUAUGCGUGAGAACCUGUGGAAAACAAUGUUAAAAUGGCUGCUUUAAGAUAGUUCCUUUGUCUUAAGCCAAAUGUCAUAGUAUAGGAAGGCAUAAAAAUGUUUUGUUUCAGCUGUAAUGUUAAAUAUUUUUCAGUGUUUUCAUGAUUUAACUGUUGAUGAUGAGUAGGUAGUAGUCUAUUGAUCAUUUUCCUUUGUGUGUUUCUCCUUGAUUUCCCUCCAGGUGUCUCCACUUUGUCCACGAUCACAGAGUCUUCACACCAUGAAGAAGUUCUUUGAGACCAGGACACAGGCCUCCAGGAGCAGCAGGCGGCACCUCUUCUGCACCUGAUGAAAGAAAACAACAGUAUUUAGAUGGACAGACCGACUUCCUGCUGUUGUCCAGUUAAAUCAGCUGACAGGAAGCUUCUGAUGAAGACUUCAGGCUUUGCAGUCAAAACACAUGUCUCUACUUAGUUAACCAUUCUUAUGUAAAAAGUCUUUACAUGUGAAUUUCAGUGCCUCCAUUGCAACAUAAGAUGAGGUCAAUCUGCGCCUGUGAGCUGGAGACGAGAGAUUCUGCCUCAUCGACAACGGAGAUGAUGUUUCAGCGGACAAGAGCCAUGUUUAAUAUUUCCACAGCUUCACAUUGAAUACUGAAUGUUGCAAGUUUUUACAUGUGACAGGACGAACUGAUAGCAGCUAACGUUAGCUCAGGCAGUAGAUUCAGUCAUACUUAUUUGUUUCAUUAAUGUAACCUUUGUUUAACCAGGAAAGUUCAGCAGCACAAAUAAAACAUCAAAGCUGCUGAGAGAAAAUGGGAAUGCAGAGUAUUAGGAAGUAGCUUUCUGUGUGAUGUUAU